UCACUUGAGAAUUUGGAAAUAUCCGAUAGUUGUAAUUCAAUGACAUCAUUUACCUUGGGCUUUCUCCCUUUCCUCCAAACUCUACAUAUUUGUAACUGUAAAAACCUAAAAUCGAUAUUAAUUGCAGAAGACACAUCACAGCAUAAUCUCUUGUUUCUUAGAACUGUCGAAAUAAGGAAAUGUGAUGAACUGGAGUCAGUUUCCCUGGGUGGAUUUCCCAUUCCUAACAUCAUUCGUUUAACUGUGCGUGAGUGUAAGAAGCUUAGUUCGUUGCCAGAACCAACAAACACUCUAGGUAUCCUUCAAAAUGUGGAAAUUCAUGACCUUCCAAAUCUGCAAUACUUUCCCGUAGAUGAUUUGCCUAUCAGUUUACGGGAACUCAGCGUAUACAAAGUUGGAGGGAUUUUGUGGAAUGCAACUUGGGAACGUCUCACUUCUCUUUCAGUGUUGCAUAUUACGGGGGAUGAUCUUGUGAAGGCCAUGAUGAAAAUGGAAGUUCCAUUGCUACCCACUUCUCUGGUUUCCUUAACGAUCUCUCUUGAAGAUAUAGAAUGCUUGGAUGGCAAGUGGCUUCAACAUCUCACCUCUCUCCAAAAACUUAAGAUUGAUGAUUCUCCCAAGCUCAAGUCAUUGCCAGAAGAGGGGAAGUUGCCUUCCUCUCUUAAAGUACUGCGUAUCAAUGACUGCCCAUUGUUGGAAGAAAUUUGCCGAAGGAAGCGUGGGAAAGAGUGGCGUAAGAUUUCUCACAUUCCCUUCAUAUUUGUCGACGACAAAAUCAUAACAUGAGUAUCACAUCCUGAUUAUGGCCCAUCGGGUGUUGAAACUGGAAUAAAAUGCUUCCCCUUUUAUUCUUCAUUUUUCUUCGUGCUGCUGACCAUGGUCACUGAAAAGGUUUGAAAAUUCAACUAGCAGACAAAUCACAUUCUCAAAGGGAUCAGAAAUGGGUUGCUCAACAAGGCUAAUGAUCAUUACAUUCUGUGAUGCCGGGGUUUCUUGCAUGUUUCAACUUUGGGAAAGGCUAUAAACGUGGAAAUCGAGCCAUCAGAACUGGAAACCAGACCAGAUCACCCUCCCCUAAUGGUGCAUGCUUCUUAUACCGACCAGAACUUGCUCAAUCUCGAAUCAAUAUACAGAAAAGGAGUUG